rnacentral:rRNA from 1 species
GGGGAUCGCCGGACAGUUCGUGAGGUUUUGGCCCUCUCAAAAGCCAAUAACCCCAAGCUAGUCUUUCUCUGUGAGACUAGACAAGAUGCAACUAAAGUGGAGAAGUUGAAGUGGAGAUUGGGCCUAAAGGGCUUUCACGGUGUUAGUAGCGAUGGAUGAAGUGGUGGUCUUGCACUGUUCUGGGAGGAGACGCUUACAGUGACAGUG